rnacentral:rRNA from 1 species
CGGUUCGCCGCCGCCGACGUCGCGAGAAGUCCACUGAACCUUAUCAUUUAGAGGAAGGAGAAGUCG